rnacentral:rRNA from 1 species
UACGUAGGGUGCGAGCGUUAAUCGGAAUUACUGGGCGUAAAGCGUGCGCAAGCGGUCUGUUAAGACCGAUGUGAAAUCCCCCGGGCUUAACCUGGGAACUGCAUUGGUGACUGGCAGGCUUUGAGUGUGGCAGAGGGAGGUAGAAUUCCACGUGUAGCAGUGAAAUGCGUAGAGGAUGUGGAGGAAUACCGAUGGCGAAGGCAGCCUCCUGGGCCAACACUGACGCUCAUGCACGAAGCGUGGGAGCAAACAGG